rnacentral:misc_RNA from 1 species
AACCAUCACUUGCAUUCAAUUUGUCAAGGGAACUAAGAAGAAUGUCAAACCCACUAUACAAUAGCGGCAACGGAAAAGGUGAAGCACACGUGCAAACUAAGACAUCCUCACUUUCAAUAUCAACAAUUUUGAGGGAGACACUCGGAUGCACAAGGGUGGUUCUUAGACAAGACUCUUGCAGAGAAUGCAAGAUCCUCUUUGGACUUCCAAGACUGUUGCACCA